CAGGGACGUCUAUGUCGUAGAAGUAACCACCGAGAGUCAGAGCUUCUGGAACAGCCGCGUGACGGUCAACCUGCUGCCGAUGCCGGACAGAAAAUCGACCGCCGGCAAUUUAACCUUGAUUUUGAAGUCGGCCGUGCCGGUGACCUGGGAGCUGGCUUCGGAUGGCUUCUCCGGGGAUCUGCUCGUUCUGACGGAGCGGCCGGUGAAGGAGACCC